GAUGAACGCUGGCGGCGUGCCUAAUACAUGCCAGUCGAGCGAACGGACGAGAAGCUUGCUUUUCUGAUGUUAGCGGCGGACGGGUGAGUAACACGUGGAUAACCUACCUAUAAGACUGGGAUAACUUCGGGAAACCGGAGCUAAUACCGGAUAAUAUUUUGAACCGCAUGGUUCAAAAGUGAAAGACGGUCUUGCUGUCACUUAUAGAUGGAUCCGCGCUGCAUUAGCUAGUUGGUAAGGUAACGGCUUACCAAGGCAACGAUGCAUAGCCGACCUGAGAGGGUGAUCGGCCACACUGGAACUGAGACACGGUCCAGACUCCUACGGGAGGCAGCAGUAGGGAAUCUUCCGCAAUGGGCGAAAGCCUGACGGAGCAACGCCGCGUGAGUGAUGAAGGUCUUCGGAUCGUAAAACUCUGCUAUUAGGGAAGAACAUAUGUGUAAGUAACUGUGCACAUCUUGACGGUACCUAAUCAGAAAGCCACGGCUAACUACGUG
rnacentral:rRNA from 1 species